GAGAGAGAGAGAGAGAGAGAGGUAUUCUUCUUUUCUUCUAUGCAUUUGCAGUUGGGUGUCGUUUCAGUUUUUAAAUGAGUUUCAAAUAGCUUUUGAAAUAUGCUUUUAUUUUAAAAAAUUUCUUCACAAAUUGAGAAUUUUUUAGAGUAAAAUUUUUACUAUGCAAUCUCUUUCAUUCUGAAAUUUUAAAAUUGAUUUUUAAAAUAUGAUGUUCUUUUAAAAUCUACAUCUGGGUACUAUUCAUUUUCUUAAGUCUAGAUCAGAUUCUUGGUUGAUUUUGUCAAGAGUAUGGUUUCUUGAAGGGACUGACCCUUUCAUCUCAAAAUAUAUAUUUCAUUAUGUAUGUUCGAUCUGGAGCUUAUCGUUGGUGCCCUAGAGUGAAUGAGCUGAUGGACUAGCUGCCAUUAAUAUAAAGGACUAGCUUCUAGCUCAACUAAGUUGGAGAUGAAAUUUGCACAUGGAGAUUCUUCUAAAGGCAGCAAAGAUAGUAGCUUGGCAAGCAAGCUAAGGGUUACCUCAAGAGAUUCCUCCUCUUUCAUCAUCAAUAUAAAAGGGAUGUGACGUGACAUGCUUGCUUUAUAUAUUCUCAUCAUGUUUUAAGAUAAAGCUAGAGGACAAGGCAAACUAUCAACCUCUGUACUUCAUUUUGAGCCUCCGAUUAACCUCCAAACUGAGAGCACAUAAUGACAACUUGUUUCUGCCUUCCCAAAACUAAUCCAGAAGAGACUUCCGUAACCAAAAGAAAUGAUCGAGAGCCUGCUUCUAACACUAAUUCUAAUAAUCCCAAAGGAAAAGGAUCCAAAGCUUUCAACUUUCGGGGGAACGAAAUCUGCGACAACAAAGGCGAAACCGUCGGAGUAUUUAACUUCGGCAACAAGAAGACCGCGGGCUCCACUGACAAGCAGGAUGGCGGCUCCAAUCUUGUUUUCACCUUUGAAGAUAUUAAAAUUCAGAGGAACCAGGCCAAGAAUACUGUCGGAUUUUGUGACUUCGGCAACGAGUAUUGAUCUUCAAUAUCCCUCGCUUGCAGGCCUCUUUUUCUUUUUUCUUUUUUUCUUUUUUUGAUUAUAGUACUAUUUUAUUUCUUAUGUGCGUGGUAGUUUAACAUAAAUUGUUCUUGUCAUGAGUAAAUGAAAAAAUUAAAAAUUAAAAAUCUUAAUUUUAUGUGGGGCGUGAAUAGUAACAGCAUUUACCUC